rnacentral:rRNA from 1 species
CGGCGAGUGAAGCGGCAACAGCUCAAAUUUGAAAUCUGGCCCCCCGGGCCCGAGUUGUAAUUUGUAGAGGAUGCUUUUGGCGAGGCACCGCCCGAGUUCCCUGGAACGGGACGCCGCAGAGGGUGAGAGCCCCGUCUGGCUGGCUGCCGAGCCUCUGUAAAGCUCCUUCGACGAGUCGAGUAGUUUGGGAAUGCUGCUCAAAAUGGGAGGUAUAUGUCUUCUAAAGCUAAAUAUUGGCCAGAGACCGAUAGCGCACAAGUAGAGUGAUCGAAAGAUGAAAAGCACUUUGAAAAGAGGGUUAAACAGUACGUGAAAUUGUUGAAAGGGAAGCGCUCAUGACCAGACUUGGGCUUGGCGGAUCAUCCGGCGUUCUCGCCGGUGCACUUCGCCUCGCCCAGGCCAGCAUCAGUUCGCCCCGGGGGACAAAAGCUUCGGGAAUGUGGCUCCUCCGGGAGUGUUAUAGCCCGUUGCAUAAUACCCUGGGGCGGACUGAGGUUCGCGCAUCUGCAAGGAUGCUGGCGUAAUGGUCAUCAGCGACCCGUCUUGAAACACGGACCAAGGAGUCGUCUUCGUAUGCGAGUGUUCGGGUGUCAAACCCCUACGCGUAAUGAAAGUGAACGCAGGUGAGAGCUUCGGCGCAUCAUCGACCGAUCCUGAUGUUCUCGGAUGGAUUUGAGUAAGAGCAUACGGGGCCGGACCCGAAAGAAGGUGAACUAUGCCUGUAUAGGGUGAAGCCAGAGGAAACUCUGGUGGAGGCUCGCAGCGGUUCUGACGUGCAAAUCGAUCGUCAAAUAUGGGCAUGGGGGCGAAAGACUAAUCGAACCUUCUAGUAGCUGGUUUCCGCCGAAGU